rfam:Ipomoea nil DNA, scaffold: scaffold3056, cultivar: Tokyo-kokei standard.
GUCAUUGUAGUAUAGUGGUGAGUAUCCCCGCCUGUCACGCGGGAGACCCGGGUUCGAUCCUGGGCAAACGCG